UAAAACUUAAAUAUUUUGGCGGUAUUUUAGUUUAUUUAGAGGAAUCUGUUUAUUAAUUGAUAAUCCACGAAUAAAUUUACUUAAUUUAUUAUUUUGUAUAUCAUUGUUAAAUAAAUAUUUUUUAAUAAUUAAUAAUAUUUUAAAAUUAUAAUUAAAAAUUAAAUCAAAUCAAGAUGCAGAUUAUAAUUAAGAAUAUAAUGGAUUACAAUAAUUUUAUUUAAAUGAAUUUUAAUUUGUAAAAAUUAAAUGA
rnacentral:rRNA from 1 species